GACAACAUGCAAACUCCACACACUGUGAGGCAUCAUGCUUUUUGUGGAUACAUAUUAGUACAACCAUUCCCAAAUGUAAGAAUACCACGGCCCAACUGGAAAUCUGAAAAUAUUCUGGGACUCACAUAAACAGUUAAUCAUAACUUUUAAUGACGCAAGACUAAGAUCAAGUAUCAUACACAACAAGGUCAGAUAAAUGAAGAAAAACAUAAUCUAAAUCCUGUGGCUAUAUAACAGGUUGCAUUUUAAAAGUACCAUAUUUUCCAGACUAUAAAUCACUGCUUUUAUUCUAGUUUUGGAGGUCCUGUAACAUAUUGGAAAAAAAAUACUGCAUCAUCAUUUAUGGCCAUAAGAUGGUACUGUCUACACGCAUGACAAGCUGCUCCUGUACUGUGAUUCACACUCCAGAGCAGAAAGUGGCGGUAACGCUCCAUUAAGCUGGAUGCUAACCACCGUAAAACAAAAAUAAGAGAAGGAGCACAUUUAAAAAAUCAUGCUCUCAAACUGAAAGACCACGCUCUGGAAUAAAAACAAGGAACAUAACUUUCAUCCUACUUGGCACAACAUUUGUUUGCACUGUGUGAGAAAAUAUCAGCAACAGCAAGUCAGCUAGGCGAAGCUGUAAAGUAAGGCUUUUUUUUUUUUUUUACAAAGUCUUCAGGCAUUUAAUUACAUUGCACAUUUACCUUAGCUAACAGUGUUCACGUUAUAUGUAAUACACUGAGUUUUCAGACAUUUAAUUACAUUGCACGUUUACCUCGGAUAUGAUUGUCUUUAGUGGUGACAAAACGCAGUUUACUCAAGUUUUGUGCCUUGUACAAUAAUAAUUAGCUAAUUAACUUCUGUUUGCUAACAUGGUGCUUUGGGUAUAAAUAAAUAAUGCAUCUAUUAAAUUAAAUUAGCUUCUUCAAUGAAGCUGUAGCACCACCUAACAAAAAUAAAUUAGAUUUUAUAGAUCGAUUCAGUUUAAGAUAAGACUUUAUUGAGCUCACAGUGGAGAAAUUCACAUGGUCCCUCCCUUCACGCCAAUGGUGCUUUUUUGGGGGGGACAGAUGCAACUAAUAGUCUGGUGUUGUAAUCAUAUGUUUUUGGGGUAAUUUUAAACUUUUAUUACAAAAUUGAAAAUCAGACGUUUACAUUAAUUUAUUUUGCAUUACCGCUCACAGCCCAUUUGCAGUAUCUUCACGGCACACCAGGGGGUUGUGAGCCCCCACACUUAUCACUGAUCUAAUACAUUGAGGCCUUUCAGACAUGAAAAUUACUACAGGCAUGAGUGACUUUAUACUUGGGAAAAAUAUUUGCUUUAUUAGGAGCAACACAAACGUCAAACCAAUCGCUGAUCUCACUCACUCAUCUUCAAUUGCUUAUCAUGGGUCACGGGGGCAACAGUUCCAGCAGGGGACCCCAGACCUUCCUUUCCUACACUCCAAACUCAAUACAACUCUCAUCUUCACAUCACACGGUCAGUAGGUCUUAGAUCAACGAGUUACCAGCUACUUUAAAUGGUUAUAUAAACUCUGCUUUACCAGCAGUAGGGGAGUACUGAUGCAAAUUCCAGUCCGAUUCUGACGGCUGGGUGAAAACAGGUUAGAAUCAACCCAAGAAAUUACUUGAAAUAAACUGAUGUAAUAUGACUCAAGAAAAUCUUAAUCCCUUUAUUGAUACGUAAAAGUGUUAUUGUGACGGUCAUUUAGAGACAGACUAUAACCAGUUGAGAAUUCGGUCAUCAAGGCUAAUGCAUAGAUGUGACACAGAUCGAAGGGGUGGAACAUAUUGGGGAAGAAAAAACACUAAGGCAUUACCCAACCUGUAUCUAAUGGAACUAGCUUUGUAGAUGAGUGUUAUAAAAACGGCUACUUUUUACUAAAGCUGUUUACGUACAUGUACACACUGCUGAACACAUUGCUGAAAAGUAACUGAUGGUACUAACUUUUGCUCCGUCUUCCUUAUGGAGCACGUGGUACGAAUUCUUGGAGAAUUAACCAAGUUCAACCAGAGCAGCACAAACCACAACCAAGCCCAAGAGCGCUUAGAGAGCGCCACUAUCGCAGUAACAUCACAGUACAGUCGCACAGUUGAGUCAUCAAACGCGGGUCGCUUGCGAAACUGUCCUUCCAGAAGGGUCCAGUCAAUGAAGACUAUACCUUGGGCUGUUCCCAGUCAGUUGAUGUUGGGAGGGUAGGGGUUGAUCCAUCCUCAUGGAUGAGCUUUGAGGAUGCGGUGGAGCAGCAUAAACCUGACCAACUGCUGGGGUUAGUAGGAGAGAACAUCAGGUGCUCGCCCCAUUCAGGACUUGAAAUGGCAGUUUUCUGCACAGAAGGCCAGUGCACCUUAUGAUGCCUCCAACAUCAGCUGGAUCUGGAUUCUAGGAUUUUUAAUAUGGUUAAUGUUAGCAAUAGGGGCUGUCUUGGGGUCACAUGAAGAGCAACCUCUCAGCAAUGUACACGAUAAAGAACAUGCAUGUGCCCAUCGGUGUCACGCUAAUUAGCCUGUGAAGAAUCCUGGAGAGAAGUGCGUGGACCUGGAUUCUGGCGAUCUUAUGAGGAUCGGCCCAUUGUGGCCAAAAAUAAAUAUAUGAUUUGUAAAGUAUCGUUGCCGAACGUUAAUGAGCCGUAUUAAAUGACCCUGAUGGGGUUUGGAUUAAAGACACUACAGGGCUGUGCCAGAUAUCUCGAAAACCUGCAAACAAAUGCAUAAUGUACUUGAUGGAGGCAAAACGUGAGGAUGGAGGGAAGAAAAAGGGGAGGAGACAGUUUGCACAUUUAUAAACUUUUAUUCUCAUGCUUUGUUUAAAGCUGCCACCUUAGGGGGAAGAAAGAAAUAAGAGGAAAAAAAAAAGAGCGAGAGAAGACAGUGGGAGCCUCCCCGGGGAUGAGGUGGGGGGGCGGCAUUUGGAUGAUUUGGUGUGAAUGCAUCCACGCUUGUGUGUAUGUGCUUUGAGGAGCUGUUUGUGAAGUCUUUGUACGUGUGCGCAUGUGUGGGUGUGCUUUUAUUGUAUGCAUAUUAAUGUAUGCCUGCCCCCCACCCUCCCCACCUCCUGCUUCCCUCAGUCUUCAUUUAUGGCAUGUUAAUGUCUGCCUCCUCACUCACACAGCUUCUGACAGCAGUACAGUGGGUGCGUGCACGUGCCCGUGCCAGGCUGGGUCUGCAUCUAUAUCUAUGUGCUGCACACGUGUGUGUCUGGCUUCACGCACCGACUGCGCAUGUCUGCCCCCCCCCCCCCCCCAUGUGGGCGGUUUGGGUGCUCAGUUCUGCAAGGUCUCCAUGUGCACGUCUGCCUGAGCGAGUGGGUGGUGUCUGUGCACAGAGGUUGAGAUGAGCGCCUGUUUGUUUUUGUCGGCCUCAGAAAACGGCACACCUUUAACCCCCCCCCCCCCCCAGCUCUGCAGCACCACAUGCACAGAGUGUGUACAUCUGUGUCAAAUCAGAGCUGCAGCCGUCGUUCCUCUGCAGCUGUUCUCUUUCUGGAUGAGCUCUUAAAUGACCUAAAUAUGAAAUGGAACAGCGACGAGAUGAUGGAAAAAAAUAACCUCUGCCAAAGCACACGCACCAUCUGAUGUCAGAGUGAUAAAAUACUCCGAAAAUUUCCAUCAUCACACCUAAAAAUUAAAACUUUGAAUUUAAGCAGAUUCCCAAACUUUCACCGGUUUCAAAAAAAUUGUUUAGUCAUUUUUGAGUCAUCCUGCGUGGGCUAAAAGCCGACACCAGACUGUUCAGUUUGUCAAAGUGUCCAAAGUUUUAACGUAAAAACACAAAAUCCCAACACAAACUACAAAUCUCCCAUGUUUUUGACUGACAUUCAGCCCAGACGGGAGGCUGCACGGUUUCUUCAGGCCAGUUGGACUUUAUGGUGCCAAAGAAACCAGAUCCCACCAGAACCAAACAAAAUCUCUACCAACCCACAGAAGACAGUUACAACCCUUUACCCAUCAGACCUCUAUGACAUCACAGAGAAAGAAUGAUGAAUAAUUACGUCAGUUAUAUACUGCAGUGCGCUGAACAACGUAACGGUCUUCCACAACAAAAACUUUGUUAAAAUCCAUCUAUCACUAUUAUUAUUUGUGUAUUUUAUUGAUAUAUUUCUUUCUAACACGUGAACGCGAACCCUCCCGUCAGCUGGAAUAAAACUAGUUAUGCUAGAUUUGAGUUAAACCAAAAAGGAAACAUGCUUUUGGAUAACUGGCUAUAAUUGGUGACAUUUCCCCUCCCUGAGAACAGCUCAGUUCCAAAAAGCUGCUUACAUGGAUUUAUUUAUUUAUUUUUAGAUCUGACUUUGACCUCAGGUCGUAGGUCAGUUUCUAGUUGGCUUGUCGUUGGGUGUUUUUGAUUUUUGUUUGAAUGCUCUGGCUCACUCUGGGACACUGUUAUGACCACACAAGCAGCUUUUUUUGGAUUUCAGAGUUAAGUAUAAGUGCGUUUUCGUGGCAGGGACCAAAGAGUUGUGGUACGAUUUCGAUAUCUUUUGUGGUUUAGCGAUAUAGUGGUGGAGGGACGACACAAAGAAAAACCACAAAUGAGCAAUUCUGUUACCUUCCUCUGUGGCCUUCACCCACCAGGGCUGUAAUUAAAAGAUAGUGGAAGUUAUUAUUUUUUGCUGAAAUAGAAAAUAUGCAUUUAGUUUAUUUGUAUCUCCGCUGCUGAUGUUAUUAAAAAAUCAUCUGGUUUAGUUGCUGCUGGUUCACUGCUGCUAUGACACAGAACCACCAGAGAUGGCGCUUUUAUUUUCUGGUUAAUGUAAAGGGGGUGGAAGUCUGUGGGGGUUAAUUUUUUUUUUAGUCAGUAAACCAACAGGAAAUAUUCCAAAAAGAACCCCAAUUAAGAAAAUGUUGCCUACAUUAUGACACUUUGUCACUUUAAUUAAUGUCCAUGCGUUAUUGCAAGAGAAAUUACGAAAAUACAAUGUUGACAAAAUAGUAAAAAUAAAUAAAUAAGUUUUUGUUUUUGUAUUUUUGUCCUCCUGUGUCCCACCCGGACACCAAGUUCAAAAAAGUUCCAUAAGGUUUUGAAUAAUGCGGGUGACAAACCCAACACACAGACAAACACGAAACACAACCUCCAGUGAGGCAGUAAUAGCAUAUGACAGUAGGAGGCGCCGUACAAUUAAAGGGGUCAUAUUGUGUAACAUAGUUUAUUAAUCUACUCUUUACAGUUAGAUGUGGUUGAGACUUUUAAGUUCAGUGUCAUCAAAACACUUCAGUCCGUACUACGUUUGUGCUUGUAGAACCUCACUUGCAAAUUUUUAAGACGGAUGAUGUUUUACGCUGGUGUGACAUAUGUCACAGAAACAAAGACCUGAAUUGUUUAUUCUGGCGCAGUUCAAGAAACACUCUUAUGUGUUGGUGGGUGUGCAAGUCAGCACAUCAAAAAACCUCCAAAUCAUCUGAUGACCCAUAAUUCUCUUCCCUCUUGCAGCAGUGUAGAAUAAAAAAAAAAAAAACAUUUUGUUUUUCCCGCAAUGAACCAGUAAGUUGGUGUUUACACACGGUUAACCCCAGUUUUACUGAUUCAGACAAGGUGCUGCUCACCACCUCAGGUCAUGUCUGGGAGCAUGCUAAACUGUGCAUCGUCACAUCAACCACACCGCCUCGGGACCUGGAUGGCAACCACCCAGGCAGAGAACCAGCGCACUUGUACGUUUGGCUUCAAACUUUCACAUUCGGUUUUAAGACUUGGCUGAAAUGACCCCUUUAAUUUAAAAACUGAGCCAGGCCUCACACUGACAGCCGUUAACGUCUCUGAGAUAUGCUGCUGACAAACAAACAUUGCAUAUUUGGUGGCGGUAAUUACGGCCAAAUGAAUAAUCAAACUGUUUCUCUGCUCUGCUUUUGUCUUCCUCCAUCUAUUUCUGCAUGUUUAGACGUCUUCAUCCCCGCCACUUAUGUCUCGUCUCCUCUUUAUGUAUACGUCCAUCUCUCGCUUACCCCCCAUCCCUCACACACACACACACAAGUUAGUGUCGCUCACUCAUCUGUUCAUUACAUGAAACAUAAUUUUCCAGCCACUGCUGCUUCAUUCCUCCAUCACCUCAUUUUCAUCAUUGGAUGCAAGUCGCUGCCACAUUCUUAUGUGUGUGUGUGUGAGUGAGAGACUGUUUGUCUGCAACAACAGAUGGAGUUGCCAAAUAUGUUGCUGCAUGUUUUUGUGUGUUGUCGAGUUGAGCAGUGAGAAAUGCAAAUGUGCAGCAUCUGUAAUAGAUGGGUGUAGGUAGUCAACCCCCCCCCCCCCCAACCCCUUCUUUGUGUGACGGAUUUUCGUGUUUGCUGCACCUUUAAUAAUCAGACGAUUGAUGAGGACUGUUUAUCUGUCCCUGCAUUCCCCGACCAAUCACAAUGCCCACUUGAGGGACGCAGCCAAUCAUGAGGCGGAUAUCAACUAGAAUGUUGAACCAAGUGACCAAGUGGGAUUAAAAAAAUAAUUGUAAUCUUCCCAGACUUGAGCAGAGGAGGGGGAGGAGGAGGAAGGAGGAGCUGCUCUUCCUGAGGAGGAGAUGUUUGUUAAGAAUCUCCCCGGACAGUUGAGGCAUUGCGGCAGUCUGCCGUCACAUGAGCGAAGCCACAAUCCAGACAAAGAGAAAAGAGAGGGAGAGCAGACUAAUGAUGGAGGAGGAGGUGGUGAGCUGCCUCGCUCUGGCUUCGUGCCACAAAGAUAAAUACCUGCCUGUUUAUCAAGCAUUUUGCAGAGGGGUGGGGUCUUCGUCGUCGUCAUCGUGACAAUAAAAAAAGACGGCUUCUUUGCCUAAAACAAUCGCUGCUUCCAAAACUUACCUUUAGUUCGGAAAAAUGUCAACUCAUUUUAAACGUCUUUCAGCACCUUGAAGAGUUCCAAUUGCACUAAAUGUUUGUGUCUGCGUGAUUCACUCUCAGCACUGUAAUACGUGAAAAAUCUACUGCAGUCGAAACACAAAGACCCGAUCAGAUCAGAAAUCACAACAAAUAGCAGAAUAUACCCAGAAUCUGAUCCUACAAGGGCAGAACAUCAAGUGUUACCACCCGAUACAUAAAACUACACAGUGCCGCAUAGAGGUUCUGUAUGAAACUUUCAGGAAAAACUAUUUUAAAGAAGUCUUUUUUGUUGUUGUGUUUUUUUGUUUUGUUUUUUUUUUAGAAUGAAGUAAAUUUCAGGGGAAUGAAGCAUUAAAAAAAAAAAAAAAAAAAACGCAGAAAAGUUUAUGGAUUUUUCAUAAAAACAAAGUGGGAAAGUAAUAUCAGAAGAAUAUUAUUAAUCAAUUAGUAAUCCUAAUUGGGGGGGGGGAUAAUUAGUAAAGCUGAAGUUGUAUGAGAAGUUAUGAGGCGUGCUAUGAGGAAAAAUUCACAUUAUGAGAAUUUAUUUUAUGAGAAGUUAGAGUAUAAAAAAGUCACAUUUUACCAGAUCAGUGUUACAAGAAUAAAGCUAAAAAACUGAGGCAAAAAGUUAUGAGAAGCUGUAAUUUUGUUCAAAUGGUAUGACUGUUUUAUUUUGGGCAAAGUCAUUCCAAAAAGUAUGAAUGUUCAACAAAAUCAGCAAAAAAAAAAAAUAAAAAAAAAAUCUGGACAUUUUUGCCAGUGCAGUCAAAAUUUUGAGAAUAAAAUCGUAAGUCUUAAUGCUAAGAGUGUUAAACUACAGCAAUAGUUGUAUUUUAUGAGAAGGGUCAGACAAAUGUAGUAAAUUUUUUUAGAAAAUAUUUGCAGGCAAUUAAAGAAUGCUUUGAUGUGGGUUGUUCAAAAAGCAGAGCGCGCAUGUUUCAACAUUAUCCUCCAGAUUUUUCAGAAAUUCCAUCAAGCAUUCACUAAGAUUACUCCCUAGAACAUGUCCAAACAUGUCCAGCAGGUGGCAGUCAGGUAUAUAGUAUAAAAAAAACUAAACAAAACCUUUUUUGUUGAUUAGGUGUAUCAAAAUUAACAAAAUUAACUUUUUUUAUUUAUUAUUUGUUCUUAUUACAGGUGCUUUUAUUUUGGAGACUUUCAAGACAACAGCAUUUGUUGUUUUUGAGUUAUUAUAACUGUAGGGGUUGGACUAACAUAUCCAUCAUCUAUUCAUUCACGAGGCUUUUUCCAAAGCUAAAUUCUGUUCCUCUUACAGGUUUGUUGAGUUAUUACUAGGGAUGGGACGACUAGUCGUAAUAAUAGACUACAACUAGCUAACAUCCGACGAGUCGAUGACUAAUGGUACCCGACUAGUUGGCUAAUGAUUUUCAUUAGUUGUCCCAACCCUAGUUAUUACCACUUUUAUUCUCACUUUUCCUGAAAAAGACUUUAUUCUUGUGACAGGAUUUGCUCAGAAUAUUCCAUGUUCACGUUAAAAGAUGAUUUUAUCUUUAACGUAUUAUUACAUCUUUGACUUUAUGGAAACAUUUCAGAGUGGGUAGUUGAGCUGUUGAGAAAUUAUGAGGUGAAAGAAAAGGUCAAAUUCUGUGAAGUAAUUUUGACAAAGAGCAAAAAAAAAAAAAAAUAGAUAAAAACAUAAAACAACAACAAAAAACAGGUGAACCUCACCGGCGAAUGUUGGUCAGUCUGGUACUGUGGGCCACGUGCCACUGAAUAGCUUUUAUUUAACAAAACCUAAAACCCACCCGUGACCUUUGACUUUUAAAAAGUCGCAGCAGUUCAGUUUUAUACGAGCACAGUUUUCUGACUUUAGGUCAAGCGGGCCGUUUCUCUGUGCACUGCGUGUUUGCUCAUGAUCUUAGAAGAGCUUUGCAGACAUUUGAGAAUUGUUCUAUUUUUUUUUUUUUUUCAUUUUACAUGUGUGUUUACAAUUUUUUGUUUUCUACAACUGAACUAGUGUACUGUAGGCUUUGAAAGAUAUUUUAAAAAACAUGCUACUAAAAUUCAACAUUAACACCUGUACUUAGAGUUGCCAAGUUGUGUUUUUUUUUUUAAAGAUCUAAAAUAGUUUAGAGAAAGAGAACCACAUAUUUUUGCAUUGUAAUUGUUGUAUGACUGAGGUGCUUCGGACGGGAUCGGGGUGCUGCACUGCAGAAAGCAAACAGGCGAACAAAAGGAUGGCAGCCGAUGAAAAGUGUAACGCUGUCGCACUCGCUUCAUUUAAAGGCUACAAGUCUGAAUGUGUUAUAAACAAAAUCUCUUUAUUGGUUUGCGACAGUAUAAAUAUACGUCUAAGCAUAAAUCUUCAUUUGAAUCCAAAGUAAGUUUACUUGACCUGGUUCUUGAGCCAGCUUUUCCUUCAAAGAAUAAGCUAAUGCUGCUUGAAUGUUACGAUUGGUCGCCACCUGGUGGCUAAAGGCUGUAGUACACUUCAACAAAUGUAAAGCAAAAGAAGCUUGAAGUAUACUAGCGCCUUGUGGAUAUUUACUGCAGCACAGAGAAGGGGGGCUCUACACCUGCAGUGACCAUCAACAGCCACCAGAGGGCAGGAAUUCGCCGAAGCAGUGAUCUUCCAAAAACUAAGAUUGUAAUUCUAGAGUCUCGAUCACUGUAUUCAACAGAGCACCUUAAGAGCAAAGCACUGUGUGGCUCUGCUCCUCAGUCUCCAAAUUUGAUGCAAACCUGCCAAAACAUCCACCGCUGUGGAUCAAAAAGCCAAAUACAGGUGGCAGCAGACUGAAAACUGCUGAACAACUUGUGAAAAAUAAAAGUGCUGCAGCCACAAUGUUGACGCUUCCAUCUACAGCUUUGUUUGAUUCCUGCUUCUGGUCUACGUCUCACCUACCGAUCCACAAAAAGAAACAUAGGUGUGAGGAGUGUAAUGGUAUUUAUAAAAGAGUAAAUAAUAAGCACCUUUGGUGGAGCACUCACCUCUCUAAACAAGACGGCGUGUCUAAGCCUCUGCACCAUUCUGAGCACGCUCACUGUGUCACUUCCUGUUUGUGGUUUUGGAUGUUGGUGUCAGAAGUGGGAUUUUUCUUUGUUUUGGGGGAACUGAUAUUUUUGUAAAGUUUCUGUUUUUAUCUUUUUUGUACUCUGAUUCACAUUUUUUUAUUUUGCAUUUUAAUUUUCUGUUUACUGUAAAAAAAAAAAAAAAAAAAAAAAAAUGUGCCCUUCAAACUGUCUCCCCCUGGUGGGAAGUGGGAGUAUAGACUGUCAACACUCCUCUGCAGGGCGGUGGGAGGAAGUGGGUGAGGAAUGUUGGAAGAUAUUUAUCUUCCAGGAAGUGAAAGAACACUUAUUACCCAGCAUGCAUUUGGGUGGGUUGAAACUUGCAGCAAGGUAAAGUGUCAAUCCAACAAGCACAAAAAUGUUAUAUUUUCUCUUUGGAAACUGCUCAGUGAUCAGAUCUAAUCAUUUGCAAUGGAGCAUCCAGGCCGCCUUAACGAGAAAAGG